AAGUCGUAACAAGGUUUCCGUAGGUGAACCUGCGGAAGGAUCAUUAAUAAACGGCGAAGCUCGCAAGAGCUUAGCUUUAUAUUAUCCAUAACACCUGUGAACUAUUUGCCUUCUUGUCAUGAGAAGGUACACCUUACAAACAUAACUGUAAUGAAUGUAAUCUAUUAUAACAUAAUACAA
rnacentral:misc_RNA from 1 species